rnacentral:rRNA from 1 species
CCGGUUGAUCCUGCCGGAGGCCACUGCUAUCGGGGUUCGAUUAAGCCAUGCGAGUCGAGAGGUGCAAGACCUCGGCGCACUGCUCAGUAACACGUGGACAACCUACCCUGUGGAGGGGGAUAACCCCGGAAAACUGGGGAUAAUACCCCAUAGGUUAGGGUGGCUGGAAUGCCCCCUAGCUCAAAGGUCCGCCGCCACAGGAUGGGUCUGCGGCCGAUUAGGUUGUUGUUGGGGUAACGGCCCAACAAGCCUUUGAUCGGUAGGGGUUGUGGGUGGAAGAGCCGGGAGAUGGAUUCUGAGACACGAAUCCAGGCCCUACGGGGCGCAGCAGGCGCGAAAACUUUACAAUGCGAGAAAUCGUGAUAAGGGAACCCCGACUGCCCGUAAAUUCGGGCUGGCCGCCAGAUCAAACAACUGGUUAUGAAUGAU